GACGAACGCUGGCGGCGUGCUUAACACAUGCAAGUCGAACGAAGUGGCGAACGGGUGAGUAACGCGUAAUCAACCUGCCCUUCAGAGGGGGACAACAGUUGGAAACGACUGCUAAUACCGCAUACUGAAGGAGGGGAUUGCGUCUGAUUAGCUAGUUGGAGGGGUAACGGCCCACCAAGGGGAAGGUCAGUAGCCGGUCUGAGGGGAUGAACGGGCACAUUGGGACUGAGAAACGGCCCAGACUUCUACGGGAGGCAGCAGGGGGGAAUCUUCCGAAAUGGACGAAAGUCUGACCGAGCAACGCCGGGGGAGUGAAGAAGGUUUUCGGAUCGGAAAGCUCUGUUGUAAGGGAAGCGGUAUCUUACCAGAAAGGGACGGCUAACUACGUGCCAGCCGCCGCGGUAAUAC
rnacentral:rRNA from 1 species